rnacentral:tRNA from 1 species
AAAGCUUUAAGUUAAAACUAAACCGUAACCUUCAAAGUUAUAAAUAUAAAUUAUUUUUAUAAGCUUUA